UACAGAAUCGCUGCUUCCAAUGGGCUGCAGUUUUAAUAUUGUUCGUUGUUUUAUCAGCGGCUCUGUAGUGCGCUUUUACCCAGUGAUGUGACUGGUGGCUAGACUUUAGCGUCGUGCAGCGGUGAUAUUACGUACUUUUACAUGACAAUCCAAGUCGUACUGCGUAUUACUUAAAGUAAUACGCAGUACGACUUAUUCUUGUGACAUCGUAGUGAUCUAGAGUAGUGAUUCCAGUCAGUUAAAAUCUCCACAAAAACAACAGGGCUGUGUUCAGUAGGCCGGAACUGGAAAGUCAUUGGGAUUUUGCUGAUUGAGAAGCAUCGUAUAUCUACUAUCAUGUUUUGGAGACGAAUUUUGUGUAUCUUUUGUCGGUUUAUUUGCAGUCUGUUGUAUCAGUAUCACCGAGUGGCGGUCCUGAAUGCCGAGAUAUGGGAUUAUUUCAGUGUGCUCGUCCGAUUCGUCCGAUUAUGACUGUUAUUGUGACGGCUGGCGGGCAGCGGAUCGGCAGAAUCCGAAAACGGGGUUGGUUAAAGGAAUAUAUAUGACUUUACGAAAGUCUGUCGGUAAGAAAUUUGAUCGUGAAAACCAUCUCUUUAGUCUGAUGAAGAAGUUGUACUUGACUGCAUAUUUACCACAGUUUUUGCUUCCUUUUGAAACAACUAUAGUUACUUACAUUGUGUGAGUAUAGCUAUAAUUGUUUUUGUAAGUUACACACUUAUCAGUUUGUACGCGAAAAUUUUCUGUCGUACGGAGUACUUCAUAAUAUUGUACAUAAUUAACUAUUAUGCUUCGCAUUUUGCAACUAGUUACAGUUGUAGAUAUUUAUAGUUGCAAAAUGUUUGGUGUACUUAAUACUCGUGUUUAUAUCGCGAUUAUCAUGCGAUUUCCUGCGCAUGAGCGGCUAAAUUGGUUUUAUUGCAGCAGUGAAAGAUACCGGUGCGUCGAGAUAACAGGUUCUUCGUUGCAUGUAUUUGCAAGUGUUUUUCGCCAGUGUGGGCAACUUUGAAAAUAAUUCGAUUAGUAUGUACAGCGCUUAUCAUGGAACAGCACAGCAUAUGUAAUGAGGAAGAGCAUAUGUACAGCACUUAUCAUGGAAGACAGUUGUUUUGAAUAUUUCUGGAACGUUGAACUCGGCGGGUGUGUUUAAGGUUUGCCGCUGACUAGCGCGUUCCGGGUUCAAAUUCCAAAAAAUACUGCUCAUGCCGGGAUUCGAAGAGUGCGAAGCGAAGCCGCAUGAUAAAGUUGCAUGAGUUACUUUUUAUGAGUUUUUUCCCCUUAAGUAAUUUAAUAACACCGGUGAGAGGCGAUCAAGAGAAGAAAGCACAACAAAUUUUAAUAGUUGUAUUGUUGCUAUUUACUGGGAAUUGUCUUCAUUUUUUAACCUUACUUGUUAGCACUUUUGUAUUGGACAUUCUUGUACAACUGAUUAUGUUGAGGCAAUACAAAUACGACUACGAGUACAUUACAAUACAAAAUUAAUACGAAUGCUUUAGCCUUCUGUGCUGCAGGGGUGCAGCACUCCCAUUAUUGCAUAAUAUCGCAGUGCAUGCUAGACUUCGUUGCCUAAAUUGUCUGCUCUUUCGGGAAGCUGUAUUCCACCAUUGUAUCUCAGUUACUUCUUAUUCCAUAGGAUUUUGAAUCCUCCCUUGUCCCUUGCUGUAAGUGCACUAUACCACUAUCGGCACUGCAACUGCAAAUAUUUGAAAAUAAAUGCUACUGAUCCUGCAGAAUCCUGGAGUACGAGUAUAUAAGAGGACUUUGUGGUCGGCGAAGCGCGUGCCUUGUUGCCGUACUUCGGUCGGACACAUGUCAAUUUGUGGACCAGUUUUAGUAUGUUGUUGUUUCUCUUCCAGCACACCCGAUUGAUUGAGGAUUUGAUAACCGCCGAUCCGGAUUUGCUCCGGCGAGCAUUAUAUUUAUUGAAUAGGUUUUUUAUCACUACUGAAUUCACCACACAGAUGCUGACUUUGGUCUCGCUAGCCACGUCAAUCAACAAAUACAAAAGCCGCGUCCAAGACGCGGAAGCCGUUGCCGAUCUCUGCCGCCUCAACCAUGAGCGUUCCAUCCAGCCGGAAAUGCCACCGUGUCUCAGUCUGUGUCUGGAGCAUGUACUGGAAAUAUGCCGGCGAAAUCGUGAACUGAAGUGUUUCGAUGGUUCGCUAAGGGACCUGGUCACCUGGACGACAGUAUGAUGAGAUUCACUUGUCCUCUUUGACAAUACGGGCCUACGGUUACAGGGUGGAAAUGACGGCUUAUCCCGUCAUUAUUGAAGACCGAUGCCAUCUGUGCUAGUGAUGCUAGCGGCUACAGAUUUCUGAAUAAUUGAUCAUCUUCUACAAACCCCCGAAUAAAUUAUUCUCCGCGAUACCAAAAAAGCAGAAUCGCGACGGUUUGAAGGCACUCGGUGGUUGGUAUUAAAUUAUUAAUCAUUUUGUGGAAAUGUUGCUGCGUGAAGUACCAGACAUGCGACAGCAGAAGAGCUGCUGACGGAUUUCACCGGAUAUUCGAAAAAGUCCCACCAAGAUCCCGGUGCUGAUGUGAUCUUCGAUCCGCUGAAAGCCUGAAACUGUUAUAAUCUUGCUCUUUGGAUUUUUUAUUUUCGUCGGAAAAAUAUCAUGUUAUCCCGAGGGAGAGAAAAUGCUACAGAAAACCGGCGUUUUUGAUAUAUUUCCGCGUCUGAUUCUCGUGAAUCGUGCAUCAGACUAAUUAUCACGAUGCUGGAUAACCAGAACGAUGGGCUCUCGAGGGGAUUAUUACUCAAAGCCUUAAACCUUUGUUUCUCCGGUUAACGAAACACUGAUGACGUUAUGACGUUCGUAGACAAUGGAAUAGUUGUUUAUGUUUAGAAAUUGGGAGCUGAAGGUCUAAUAGUUGUCGUUUUUUAUUUGGUAACAGGUCGCAUUCUGACGUAUGCUGCGAAUUAUUUUUGCAGGCUCUCCGGCGUUACGCGACGCUGCAUUUGCGGACGCUUUUACGCUCGUCUGCCGUGAUUAUCUGAAUGGGGAAUGAAGUUGUUAAUUGGACGGAUGGCAGGAUGCGAACAUCACUGUCGCUCAGACAGCCGUGGAAACCAUCGAUGUAAUUCGCGAGGAAAUGCCCCAUUUGGUGAGCGUUAAAGUUAUCCGGGCAACGUCCACUGAGCCAUUAACCAUCAGUCCAAAUGGGCGCUGUGGACUCUUGGUCACAUCGGCCGAACUGUCGAUGGAAUGUGGAUGCUGAAACGAGUACGAUGUGCUGGAUAUGGUCGUUAACAUUGCGGCGGAACAUCCGAAUUUAUCCGUCCGUGGGACUGCGUAUUUGUUCUGGGAUUAUGGUCAACAACGGAACGUGGCGCUGAUCUCCUGAAAUCACGCGAUUGGUUGGCCAUCCGGCACAAUCGCCAUGAACUGUGGCCACUGGUCGAUCAGCGGGUGCAGUACACGUGGGACAAUGCGUCCGAAUGCAUCACCGCUGCCCUGCCCAGUUUCAAUGCGUCGCCUCGGCCGCAGCGCUUGAUCUCCUUCACCACGGCGCCUGCGCAUGUUUGCGAGUGCCCUCGCCGUUGUUUGCCGAGAAAGAAGCCAAUGUCUAAGAAUAAUAAAAAUAUUGUGCGCGAUUCGCGCUUUUUGCCGCUUUGUCCCGCGGAUGUCCUCUCGCCACUAAACAAAACAGUAAAACGAAGCAGCAAAGGAGAUGAUUGUUGCAUAUUAACACUUGAUUAGUGAAACGCGGCAUCUAUGCGCCGCAAGACAGCAAGUACGUAAGUAUUUCGACACAAAAGCGG